UAUGAUGAGUGUUCUGGCGCUCUAUGGCUGCUGUCACAUCAUCCAGGUGGGGCUGCACACUGGUGGUGGUGGAGGGGAUCCCCAUUACCUGUAAAGCGCUUUGAGUGGAGUGUCCAGAAAAGCGCUAUAAAGAGUGUAAGCAAUUAUUAUUAUUAUUAUUAUUAUUAUUAUUAUUAUUAUUAAAAACAGAAAACAAUGAACCUCUUUCUCAGCGUUGGUGAUAAAGCCUGUUCUCCUCUCCUCCUGCCCCUCAUCAGGUCCAGAACCGUGCCCAGGCUGCAGGCUCUCUGGGCUGGUGAUGUCAGCGCCGUGAUCCAGCUCACCUGGAGCAGCCCAGUCGUCCUCCUGCAGCACAUUCUCAGUUUCAGCACUGCCUGCUACCACCAGCUCACCACAAGCUCAGGAAAAGAGCUUCCUUACAUUUCCAGCUUUGUCACUCAUGUUCCCUGCACUUAGAGAUUCCUGACUUCAGGCCCUGUGCUGGAGGAAGGGGGUGUGUGGGGGCUGUUACCGGCAGACGCAGCCGGUUCUCUCUGUGCCAGUGUCUGAGCUGGCGAAGCUCCUCUUCAUGUGCCUGCUCAGCUGCCUGCACAGCCUGCCCUUCCCUUGCCAGCAGCUCUGGAACACACACAGGGCCACACUCAGCGCCCCAUUGCCGAUGCUGCUAUUGAAUGAGCAGCACUUUUUAAUCCUCACACCUCACAUGGACUGUUCUCACAGACCAACCAUAAAAGCAAAUGGAUGGUGUCAAAAAGCAAAAUGUAAAAAUAAUAGAAAAAUUUGAGUGGAAGAAUUAAUGAGACCUGACA
rnacentral:lncRNA from 1 species